UUGGGAGUCUUGAAGACUGAAGUUCUCUUUACAGAACAGGUAUAGCAUAGGCAGUGGCAGCAUGCACUUCCCCAUAUUACCCCACCAACAUGCUUCAAUGCUGGCCUCUAGCAAAGAGGGGGUAAUCCAAUCUGCAUGCUCAUUCAGUCCUUGGUUUUU
ensembl:misc_RNA